rnacentral:rRNA from 1 species
AGAGUUUGAUCCUGGCUCAGGAUGAACGCUAGCUACAGGCUUAACACAUGCAAGUCGAGGGGCAGCAUGGACCCAGCUUUGCUGGGUUUGAUGGCGACCGGCGCACGGGUGAGUAACGCGUAUCCAACCUGCCCUUUACUCCGGGAUAGUCUCCUGAAAGGGGUUUAAUACCGGAUGUGUUUGUCUUUCCGCAUGGGAGCGACAAUAAGAUUGAUUGGUAAGGAUGGGGAUGCGUCCCAUUAGCUUGUUGG